AGGACGAACGCUGGCGGCGCGCUUAACACAUGCAAGUCGAGCGAGAACCAGGCCUUCGGGCCUGGGGAAAGCGGCGAACGGGUGAGUAACACGUGGGUAACCCACCCUUGGUACCGGGAUAGCCCGAGGAAACUCGGAUUAAUACCGGAUGGCCCAACAGCUCUUCGGGGCGGUUGGAAAAGGUAGCUUCGGCCUCCGACCAAGGACGGGCCCGCGGCGGAUUAGCUUGUUGGUGAGGUAACGGCUCACCAAGGCGACGAUCCGUAGCUGGUCUGAGAGGACGAUCAGCCACACUGGGACUGAGACACGGCCCAGACUCCUACGGGAGGCAGCAGUGGGGAAUCUUGCGCAAUGGGCGAAAGCCUGACGCAGCGACGCCGCGUGGGGGAAGAAGGCUUUCGGGUUGUAAACCCCUUUCAGGAAGGACGAAGCCACUCGGGUUAAUAGCCCAGAGGGUGACGGUACUUCCAGAAGAAGCCCCGGCUAACUACGUGCCAGCAGCCGC
rnacentral:rRNA from 1 species